rnacentral:lncRNA from 1 species
UUUUACCCACCUGGAGGUGCUGCAAGCCCUGGAGGCCCAGUUACCGGGGGCCAUGGAGAGCGGGCGCGUGAGCAGCAUCCGUUUUGAGAACAUGAACGUCAUCUGUGGGACUGCUGGGCGCCGGAACCGGUGGCUCAUCGCGGUCACGGACUUCCAGACGCGCUCGCGCUUGCUGCGCUCCGGGCUCAGUCCCCGCGGGCUUGCGCACCAGAUCGUGCGCCA